AGUGGACGCUGGCGGCAGGCCUAACACAUGCAAGUCGAACGGCAGCACAAGAGAGCUUGCUCUCUGGGUGGCGAGUGGCGGACGGGUGAGGAAUGCAUCGGAAUCUGCCCAUUUGUGGGGGAUAACCUCGGGAAACCGGGACUAAUACCGCAUACGACCUACGGGUGAAAGCAGGGGAUCUUCGGACCUUGCGCAGAUGGAUGAGCCGAUGCCGGAUUAGCUAGUUGGAGGGGUAAAGGCCCACCAAGGCGACGAUCCGUAGCUGGUCUGAGAGGAUGAUCAGCCACACUGGGACUGAGACACGGCCCAGACUCCUACGGGAGGCAGCAGUGGGGAAUAUUGGACAAUGGGCGCAAGCCUGAUCCAGCCAUGCCGCGUGUGUGAAGAAGGCCUUCGGGUUGUAAAGCACUUUUGUUGGGAAAGAAAAGCAGCCGGUUAAUACCCGGUUGUCAUGACGGUACCCAAAGAAUAAGCACCGGCUAACUUCGUG
rnacentral:rRNA from 1 species